UGGGGAAUUUUGGACAAUGGGCGAAAGCCUGAUCCAGCAAUGCCACGUGUGUGAAGAAGGCCUUCGGGUUGUAAAGCACUUUUGUCCGGAAAGAAAUCCUUGGCUCUAAUACAGUCGGGGGAUGACGGUACCGGAAGAAUAAGCACCGGCUAACUACGUGCCAGCAGCCGCGGUAAUACGUAGGGUGCAAGCGUUAAUCGGAAUUACUGGGCGUAAAGCGUGCGCAGGCGGUUUGCUAAGACCGAUGUGAAAUCCCCGGGCUCAACCUGGGAACUGCAUUGGUGACUGGCAGGCUAGAGUAUGGCAGAGGGGGGUAGAAUUCCACGUGUAGCAGUGAAAUGCGUAGAGAUGUGGAGGAAUACCGAUGGCGAAGGCAGCCCCCUGGGCCAAUACUGACGCUCAUGCACGAAAAGCGUGGGGAGCAAAACAGGAUUAGAUACCCUGGUAGUCCACGCCCUAAACGAUGUCAACUAGUUGUUGGGGAUUCAUUUCCUUAGUAACGUAGCUAACGCGUGAAGUUGACCGCCUGGGGAGUACGGUCGCAAGAUUAAAACUUAAAUGAAUUGACGGGGUCAUAGCUGUUUCCU
rnacentral:rRNA from 1 species